rnacentral:misc_RNA from 1 species
GCCAUUUUGGAAGGUGUCAGCUUGAAUAGAGAGGAAGUUAGCAGCCUUCAGCUUCUCCCUCCUUGGAAACUUCGGAGCAAUACUCUUAACUAUGGCUUUGGACCUCUUUGCUGUUGUUACUUUAUAUGUGAUUUCUUGUCAGUUAUAUCUGGCGGCCACUUUUAUAUGUUUGAUCCUCGUGAUCUGGCACUUGGUGUGUCUUCAAGUCAUACUCCCACAGCAAAAAUGUUUUCUCUGAUAGGUACAAAUUUGACCAAGCGAUUUUGUGAUCAAUUUAAUCCGA